rnacentral:rRNA from 1 species
GAAAUGCGAUACGUAAUGUGAAUUGCAGAAUUCAGUGAAUCAUCGAAUCUUUGAACGCACCUUGCGCCCCUUGGUAUUCCGAGGGGCACACCCGUUUGAGUGUCGUGAAUAUCUCAACCUCCUCGGUUUCUUUUGGAACGCCGAGGGAGGCUUGGACUUUGGAGGGCUUUGCUGGACUUUAAAAGGCCAGCUCCUCUCAAAUGAAUUAGCGAGGUCCCCUUUGCCGAUCCUCGACGUGUGAUAAGAUGCUUCCACGUCUCGGUCUUUGGCUCUGUCGCCUCUUGGGACCUGCUUCCAAUCGUCUCUCUACGAGACAACGUUCGAGCUUGCCUCGACCACGUACCCUUGACCUCAAAUCGGGUGAGACUACCCGCUGAACUUAA